rnacentral:rRNA from 1 species
CGGAGGAUCCAAGCGUUAUCCGGAAUCAUUGGGUUUGAAGGGUCCGUAGGCGGGUUUAUAAGUCAGUGGUGAAAGCCCAUCGCUCAACGAUGGAACGGCCAUUGAUACUGUAGAUCUUGAAUUAUUAGGAAGUAACUAGAAUAUGUAGUGUAGCGGUGAAAUGCUUAGAGAUUACAUGGAAUACCAAUUGCGAAGGCAGGUUACUACUAAUGGAUUGACGCUGAUGGACGAAAGCGUGGGUAGCGAACAGGAUUAGAUACCCUGGUAGUCCACGCCGUAAACGAUGGAUACUAGCUGUUCGGAGCAAUCUGAGUGGCUAAGCGAAAGUGAUAAGUAUCCCACCUGGGGAGUACGUUCGCAAGAAUG